rnacentral:rRNA from 1 species
ACGGGAGGCAGCAGUGGGGAAUAUUGCACAAUGGGGGAAACCCUGAUGCAGCGACGCCGCGUGAACGAAGAAGUAUUUCGGUAUGUAAAGUUCUAUCAGCAGGGAAGAAAAUGACGGUACCUGACUAAGAAGCCCCGGCUAACUACGUGCCAGCAGCCGCGGUAAUACGUAGGGGGCAAGCGUUAUCCGGAUUUACUGGGUGUAAAGGGAGCGUAGACGGCAUUGCAAGUCUGAAGUGAAACUCCGGGGCUCAACCCCGGAACUGCUUUGGAAACUGCAGAGCUUGAGUACCGGAGGGGUAAGCGGAAUUCCUAGUGUAGCGGUGAAAUGCGUAGAUAUUAGGAGGAACACCAGUGGCGAAGGCGGCUUACUGGACGGUAACCGACGUUGAGGCUCGAAAGCGUGGGGAGCAAACAGGAUUAGAUACCCUGGUA